UACAAAGGUCUCAAGCGCUGUUCGGAAUUACUGGGCGUAAAGCGUGCGUAGGCGGCGAGGUAAGGCAGAUGUGAAAUGCCGGGGCUCAACCCCGGAACUGCAUCAGAUACUGACUUGCUCGAGUAGUGGAGGGGAGUCUGGAAUUCACGGUGUAGCAGUGAAAUGCGUGGAUAUCGUGAGGAACACUAGGGGCGAAGGCGAGACUCUGGACACUUACUGACGCUGAGGCACGAAGGCCAUGGUAGCGAAAGGG
rnacentral:rRNA from 1 species